rnacentral:rRNA from 1 species
AGCGGCGGAAACGUCGUGGCCGAGANGAGCCUGAACAGGUGGUGCAUGGCUGUCGUCAGCUCGUGUCGUGAGAUGUUGGGUUAAGUCCCGCAACGAGCGCAACCCUCGUCGCAUGUUGCCAGCGGUUCGGCCGGGCACCCAUGCGAGACCGCCGGCGUUAAGCCGGAGGAAGGUGGGGACGACGUCAAGUCAUCAUGCCCCUUAUGUCCUGGGCUGCACACGUGCUACAAUGGUCGGCACAAUGGGCUGCCAGCCCGCGAGGGCGAGCGAAUCCCUAAAGCCGGCCCCAGUUCGGAUUGGAGGCUGCAACCCGCCUCCAUGAAGUCGGAGUUGCUAGUAAUCGCGGAUCAGCACGCCGCGGUGAAUGCGUUCCCGGGCCUUGUACACACCGCCCGUCACACCACCCGAGUCGAUUGCACCCGAAGUCGCCGGCCCAACCCGCAAGGGAGGGAGGCGCCGAAGGUGUGGUUGGUAAGGGGGGUGAAGUCGUAACAAGGUAGCCGUACGAGAACGUGCGGCUGGAUCACCU